CCUAGGGGAGGCAGCAGUGGGGAAUAUUGGACAAUGGGCGAAAGCCUGAUCCAGCCAUGCCGCGUGUGUGAAGAAGGCCUUCGGGUUGUAAAGCACUUUCAGUGGGGAAGAAAGCCUUGGGGCUAAUACCCUCGAGGAAGGACAUCACCCACAGAAGAAGCACCGGCUAACUCCGUGCCAGCAGCCGCGGUAAUACGGAGGGUGCGAGCGUUAAUCGGAAUUACUGGGCGUAAAGCGCGCGUAGGCGGUCUGAUAAGCCGGUUGUGAAAGCCCCGGGCUCAACCUGGGAACGGCAUCCGGAACUGUCAGGCUAGAGUGCAGGAGAGGAAGGUAGAAUUCCCGGUGUAGCGGUGAAAUGCGUAGAGAUCGGGAGGAAUACCAGUGGCGAAGGCGGCCUUCUGGACUGACACUGACGCUGAGGUGCGAAAGCGUGGGUAGCAAACAGGAUUAGAUACCCGGGUAGUC
rnacentral:rRNA from 1 species